rnacentral:rRNA from 1 species
CCUACGGGUGGCAGCAGUCGAGAAUCAUUCACAAUGGGGGAAACCCUGAUGGUGCGACGCCGCGUGGGGGAAUGAAGGUCUUCGGAUUGUAAACCCCUGUCAUGUGGGAGCAAAUUAAAAAGAUAGUACCACAAGAGGAAUAGACGGCUAACUCUGUGCCAGCAGCCUCGGUAAUACAGAGGUCUCAAGCGUUGUUCGGAAUCACUGGGUGUAAAGCGUGCGUAGGCUGUUUCGUAAGUCGUGUGUGAAUGGCGCGGGCUCAACCCGCGGACGGCACAUGAUACUGGGAGCCUAGAGUAAGGGAGGGGGAACCGGAAUUCGCGGUGUAGCAGUGAAAUGCGUAGAUAUCGAGAGGAACACUCGUGGCGAAGGCAGGUUCCUGGACAUAAACUGACGCUGAGGCACGAAGGCCAGGGGAGCGAAAGGGAUUAGAUACCCUAGUAGUC